rnacentral:rRNA from 1 species
UACGUAGGAGGCGAGCGUUAUCCGGAGUUACUGGGCGUAAAGAGCGCGCAGGCGGUCGUUCAAGUCGCGUGUGAAAGCCCCCGGCUCAACUGGGGAGGGUCACGCGAUACUGAUCGACUCGAAGGCAGGAGAGGGUAGUGGAAUUCCCGGUGUAGUGGUGAAAUGCGUAGAUAUCGGGAGGAACACCAGUGGCGAAGGCGACUACCUGGCCUGUUCUUGACGCUGAGGCGCGAAAGCUAGGGGAGCAAACGGG